rnacentral:rRNA from 1 species
AACGAACGCUGGCGGCAUGCCUAACACAUGCAAGUCGAACGAGACCUUCGGGUCUAGUGGCGCACGGGUGCGUAACGCGUGGGAACCUGCCCUUAGGUUCGGAAUAACUCCCCGAAAGGGGUGCUAAUACCGGAUAAUGUCUUCGGACCAAAGAUUUAUCGCCUUUGGAUGGGCCCGCGUUGGAUUAGCUAGUUGGUAGGGUAAAAGCCUACCAAGGCGACGAUCCAUAGCUGGUCUGAGAGGAUGAUCAGCCACACUGGGACUGAGACACGGUCCAGACUCCUACGGGAGGCAGCAGUGGGGAAUAUUGGACAAUGGGCGAAAGCCUGAUCCAGCAAUGCCGCGUGAGUGAUGAAGGCCUUAGGGUUGUAAAGCUCUUUUACCCGGGAUGAUAAUGACAGUACCGGGAGAAUAAGCUCCGGCUAACUACGUG